GACGAACGCUGGCGGCGUGCCUAACACAUGCAAGCUGAGCGGAGGUAAAUGGAGCUUGCUCUAUGAACCUUAGCAGCGAACGGGUGAGUAACACGUAGAUAAUCUGUCCUAUAUUGGGGGAUAGCCCGAUGAAAGUUGGAUUAAUACCGCAUACAGCUAUAUAGUUGCAUGAUUAUAUAGUGAAAGAUUUAUUGAUAUAGGAGGAGUCUGCGGCACAUUAGCUAGUAGGUGAGGUAAGAGCUUACCUAGGCGACGAUGUGUAGCCGGUCUGAGAGGAUGAACGGCCACAAUGGAACUGAGACACGGUCCAUACUCCUACGGGAGGCAGCAGUGGGGAAUAUUGCACAAUGGGGGAAACCCUGAUGCAGCAACGCCGCGUGAGUGAAGAAGGUUUUCGGAUUGUAAAGCUCUGUUAGCAGGGAAGAGGAAGGACGGUACCUGCAGAGGAAGCCACGGCUAACUACGUGCCAGCAGCCGCGGUAAUACGUAGGUGGCAAGCGUUGUUCGGAAUAACUGGGCGUAAAGGAUGCGUAGGCGGUUAAAUAAGUUAUAUGUUAAAUAUAUAGGCUUAACCUGUAGAAAGCAUAUAAAACUGUUUAACUAGAGUGCAGGAGAGGUAAGUGGAAUUCCUAGUGUAGCGGUGAAAUGCGUAGAGAUUAGGAAGAACACCAGUGGCGAAGGCGACUUACUGGACUGUAACUGACGCUGAGGCAUUA
rnacentral:rRNA from 1 species